rnacentral:rRNA from 1 species
GGGUUGUGAGGUUAAGCGACUAAGCGUACACGGUGGAUGCCCUGGCAGUCAGAGGCGAUGAAGGACGUGCUAAUCUGCGAAAAGCGCCGGCGAGGUGAUAUGAACCCUUGACCCGGCGAUGUCCGAAUGGGGAAACCCAGUGCAAUCCGUUGCACUAUCGUUAACUGAAUACAUAGGUUAACGAGGCGAACCGGGGGAACUGAAACAUCUAAGUACCCCGAGGAAAAGAAAUCAACCGAGAUUCCCCCAGUAGCGGCGAGCGAACGGGGAGCAGCCCGGAGUCUGAAUCAGCUUGUGUGUUAGUGGAACGGUCUGGAAAGUCCGACGGUACAGGGUGAUAGUCCCGUACACGAAAGCACACAUGCUGUGAACUCGAAGAGUAGGGCGGGACACGUGGUAUCCUGUCUGAAUAUGGGGGGACCAUCCUCCAAGGCUAAAUACUCCUGACUGACCGAUAGUGAACCAGUACCGUGAGGGAAAGGCGAAAAGAACCCCGGCGAGGGGAGUGAAAAAGAACCUGAAACCGUGUACGUACAAGCAGUGGGAGCCUCUUUUAUGGGGUGACUGCGUACCUUUUGUAUAAUGGGUCAGCGACUUAUAUUCUGUAGCAAGGUUAACCGUAUAGGGGAGCCGAAGGGAAACCGAGUCUUAACUGGGCGUUAAGUUGCAGGGUAUAGACCCGAAACCCGGUGAUCUAGCCAUGGGCAGGUUGAAGGUUGGGUAACACUAACUGGAGGACCGAACCGACUAAUGUUGAAAAAUUAGCGGAUGACCUGUGGCUGGGGGUGAAAGGCCAAUCAAACCGGGAGAUAGCUGGUUCUCCCCGAAAGCUAUUUAGGUAGCGCCUCGUGAACUCAUCUUCGGGGGUAGAGCACUGUUUCGGCUAGGGGGCCAUCCCGGCUUACCAACCCGAUGCAAACUACGAAUACCGAAGAAUGUUAUCACGGGAGACACACGGCGGGUGCUAACGUCCGUCGUGAAGAGGGAAACAACCCAGACCGCCAGCUAAGGUCCCAAAGUCAUGGUUAAGUGGGAAACGAUGUGGGAAGGCACAGACAGCCAGGAUGUUGGCUUAGAAGCAGCCAUCAUUUAAAGAAAGCGUAAUAGCUCACUGGUCGAGUCGGCCUGCGCGGAAGAUGUAACGGGGCUAAACCAUGCACCGAAGCUGCGGCAGCGACACUAUGUGUUGUUGGGUAGGGGAGCGUUCUGUAAGCCGUUGAAGGUGUGCUGUGAGGCAUGCUGGAGGUAUCAGAAGUGCGAAUGCUGACAUAAGUAACGAUAAAGCGGGUGAAAAGCCCGCUCGCCGGAAGACCAAGGGUUCCUGUCCAACGUUAAUCGGGGCAGGGUGAGUCGACCCCUAAGGCGAGGCCGAAAGGCGUAGUCGAUGGGAAACAGGUUAAUAUUCCUGUACUUGGUGUUACUGCGAAGGGGGGACGGAGAAGGCUAUGUCAGCCGGGCGACGGUUGUCCCGGUUUAAGCAUGUAGGCGGAGGUUCCAGGUAAAUCCGGUACCUUGUUAACGCUGAGGUGUGAUGACGAGGCACUACGGUGCUGAAGUGAUAAAUGCCCUGCUUCCAGGAAAAGCCUCUAAGCAUCAGGUAACACGAAAUCGUACCCCAAACCGACACAGGUGGUCAGGUAGAGAAUACCAAGGCGCUUGAGAGAACUCGGGUGAAGGAACUAGGCAAAAUGGUGCCGUAACUUCGGGAGAAGGCACGCUGAUAUGUAGGUGAAGCCCCUGCGGGCGGAGCUGAAAUCAGUCGAAGAUACCAGCUGGCUGCAACUGUUUAUUAAAAACACAGCACUGUGCAAACACGAAAGUGGACGUAUACGGUGUGACGCCUGCCCGGUGCCGGAAGGUUAAUUGAUGGGGUUAGCGGCAACGCGAAGCUCUUGAUCGAAGCCCCGGUAAACGGCGGCCGUAACUAUAACGGUCCUAAGGUAGCGAAAUUCCUUGUCGGGUAAGUUCCGACCUGCACGAAUGGCGUAAUGAUGGCCAGGCUGUCUCCACCCGAGACUCAGUGAAAUUGAACUCGCUGUGAAGAUGCAGUGUACCCGCGGCAAGACGGAAAGACCCCGUGAACCUUUACUAUAGCUUGACACUGAACACUGGUCCUUGAUGUGUAGGAUAGGUGGGAGGCUUUGAAGCGUGGACGCCAGUCUGCGUGGAGCCGACCUUGAAAUACCACCCUUUAAUGGCUGGUGUUCUAACGUGGACCCGUAAUCCGGGUUGCGGACAGUGUCUGGUGGGUAGUUUGACUGGGGCGGUCUCCUCCCAAAGAGUAACGGAGGAGCACGAAGGUUGGCUAAUCCUGGUCGGACAUCAGGAGGUUAGUGCAAUGGCAUAAGCCAGCUUGACUGCGAGCGUGACGGCGCGAGCAGGUGCGAAAGCAGGUCAUAGUGAUCCGGUGGUUCUGAAUGGAAGGGCCAUCGCUCAACGGAUAAAAGGUACUCCGGGGAUAACAGGCUGAUACCGCCCAAGAGUUCAUAUCGACGGCGGUGUUUGGCACCUCGAUGUCGGCUCAUCACAUCCUGGGGCUGAAGUAGGUCCCAAGGGUAUGGCUGUUCGCCAUUUAAAGUGGUACGCGAGCUGGGUUUAGAACGUCGUGAGACAGUUCGGUCCCUAUCUGCCGUGGGCGCUGGAGAAUUGAGGGGGGCUGCUCCUAGUACGAGAGGACCGGAGUGGACGCAUCACUGGUGUUCGGGUUGUCAUGCCAAUGGCACUGCCCGGUAGCUAAAUGCGGAAGAGAUAAGUGCUGAAAGCAUCUAAGCACGAAACUUGCCCCGAGAUGAGUUCUCCCUGAGACUUUAAGUCUCCUGAAGGAACGUUGAAGACGACGACGUUGAUAGGUCGGGUGUGUAAGCGCAGCGAUGCGUUGAGCUAACCGAUACUAAUGAACCGUGAGGCUUAACCUUACAACGCCGAAGGUGUUU